rnacentral:pre_miRNA from 1 species
AAUAAACCAAUUUUUUACUUUUUAUCUAUAAUUUUUGAUUAUUUGUCUUAUUUAAAUUUUUUUUGUGAUUGAUAUUUUUGUUUUUAUUAGAUGAUAAAUCAUCAAUGGUACUUUACGUGUGACUAAUUUUUUUCUAAUUUUCUAAAAAAAUUUCAAAUAAGAUGGAUAGUCAAACGUUAGACACGGAAACCGAAG